UGGGGAAUUUUGGACAAUGGGCGCAAGCCUGAUCCAGCCAUGCCGCGUGCAGGAUGAAGGCCCUCGGGUUGUAAACUGCUUUUGUACGGAACGAAAAGCCUCUUUCUAAUAAAGAGGGGUGAUGACGGUACCGUAAGAAUAAGCACCGGCUAACUACGUGCCAGCAGCCGCGGUAAUACGUAGGGUGCGAGCGUUAAUCGGAAUUACUGGGCGUAAAGCGUUCGCAGGCGGUCUUGCAAGACAGUGGUGAAAUCCCCGGGCUCAACCUGGGAACUGCCAUUGUGACUGCAAGGCUGGAGUGUGGCAGAGGGGGAUGGAAUUCCGCGUGUAGCAGUGAAAUGCGUAGAUAGGCGGAGGAACACCGAUGGCGAAGGCAAUCCCCUGGGCCUGCACUGACGCUCAUGCACGAAAGCGUGGGGAGCAAACA
rnacentral:rRNA from 1 species